rnacentral:rRNA from 1 species
UACGAAGGGGACUAGCGUUGUUCGGAAUCACUGGGCGUAAAGCGCACGUAGGCGGAUGUGUCAGUCAGGGGUGAAAUCCCGGGGCUCAACCUCGGAACUGCCUUUGAUACAGCACGUCUCGAGUCCGGAAGAGGUGGGUGGAAUUCCUAGUGUAGAGGUGAAAUUCGUAGAUAUUAGGGAGAACACCGGUGGCGAAGGCGGCCCACUGGUCCGGUACUGACGCUGAGGUGCGAAAGCGUGGGGAGCAAACAGG